rnacentral:rRNA from 1 species
AUUGAACGCUGGCGGCAGGCCUAACACACGCAAGUCGAGCGGAUGAAGAGAGCUUGCUCUCUGAUUCAGCGGCGGACGGGUGAGUAAUGCCUAGGAAUCUGCCUGGUAGUGGGGGACCACGUUUCGAAAGGAACGCUAAUACCGCAUACGUCCUACGGGAGAAAGCAGGGGACCUUCGGGCCUUGCGCUAUCAGAUGAGCCUAGGUCGGAUUAGCUAGUAGGUGAGGUAAUGGCUCACCUAGGCGACGAUCCGUAACUGGUCUGAGAGGAUGAUCAGUCACACUGGAACUGAGACACGGUCCAGACUCCUACGGGAGGCAGCAGUGGGGAAUAUUGGACAAUGGGCGAAAGCCUGAUCCAGCCAUGCCGCGUGUGUGAAGAAGGUCUUCGGAUUGUAAAGCACUUUAAGUUGGGAGGAAGGGCAGUAAGUUAAUACCUUGCUGUUUUGACGUUACCAACAGAAUAAGCACCGGCUAACUUCGUGCCAGCCGCCGCCGUAAUAC